UUAAAGGGAGCAAAAAUGAUCUGCUGGCUAAACUUACUGUCCUUACUAGCAGUCCUCAGAGGUGUCCAAUCUGAGGUCCAGUUGGUGGAAUCUGGAGGGGAUGUGAGAAGGCCUGAGGAGUCCCUCCGCCUCUCCUGCCAAGCUUCAGGCUUCACCUUCAGCAGCUAUGAGAUGAACUGGGUGAGACAGGCUCCAGGAAAAGGACUGGAAUGGAUUGGCUGGAUAGAUAAUGAAGGAGAUGGGAGCAACCAAUACUAUGCUAAUUCUGUGAAAGGCCGUUUUACCAUCUACCGCCGAGAUGCCUCCAGCAUGCUUUAUCUCCAAAUGAACAGCCUAAAAUCAGAGGAAACCGCUGUGUAUUACUGUGCUACAGACUCACAGUGA